rnacentral:rRNA from 1 species
CGCGUAGGCGGUCUUUUAAGUCUGAGGUGAAAGGUUCAGCGCUCAACGUGAACAGUGCCUUGGAUACUGGGAGACUUGAGUAUGGGAGAGGGCAGUGGAAUGGCUGGUGUAGCGGUGAAAUGCGUAGAUAUCAGUCGGAACACCCAUGGCGAAGGCAGCUGCCUGGCCUAAUACUGACGCUGAGGUGCGAAAGCGUGGGGAGCGAACGGGAUUAGAUACCCCGGUAGUCCACGCCGUAAACGAUGAGUGCUAGGUGUCAGCGGUAUCGACCCCGCUGGUGCCGUCGCUAACGCAUUAAGCACUCCGCCUGGGGAGUACGGCCGCAAGGUUGAA